rnacentral:rRNA from 1 species
GACGAACGCUGGCGGCGUGCUUAACACAUGCAAGUCGAACGAUGAUGCUGGAGCUGGCUCCAGUUGAUUAGUGGCGAACGGGUGAGUAACACGUGAGCAAUCUGACCUUGACUCGGGGAUAACUGCGGGAAACUGUAGCUAAUACCGGAUACUUUCAUCGGCAGCCUCGCCAGGGGGAGGAAAGAAUUUCGGUCAGGGAUGGGCUCGCGGCCUAUCAGCUAGUUGCUGAGGUAACGGCUCACCAAGGCGACGACGGGUAGCCGGCCUGAGAGGGUGACCGGCCACACUGGGACUGAGACACGGCCCAGACUCCUACGGGAGGCAGCAGUGGGGAAUAUUGCACAAUGGGCGCAAGCCUGAUGCAGCAACGCCGCGUGAGGGAUGAAGGCCUUCGGGUUGUAAACCUCUUUUAGCAGGGAAGAAAUUCGUUGACAUUAGCGCAUGAAUAAGGGGCUCCAAACUCUGUGCCAGCCGCCGCCGUAA